rnacentral:rRNA from 1 species
UGGGGAAUAUUGCACAAUGGGCGCAAGCCUGAUGCAGCAACGCCGCGUGAGGGAUGACGGCCUUCGGGUUGUAAACCUCUUUUAGUAGGGAAGAAGCGAAAGUGACGGUACCUGCAGAAAAAGCACCGGCUAACUACGUGCCAGCAGCCGCGGUAAUACGUAGGGUGCGAGCGUUGUCCGGAAUUAUUGGGCGUAAAGAGCUCGUAGGCGGUCUGUCGCGUCUGCUGUGAAAACCCGAGGCUCAACCUCGGGCCUGCAGUGGGUACGGGCAGACUAGAGUGCGGUAGGGGAGAAUGGAAUUCCUGGUGUAGCGGUGGAAUGCGCAGAUAUCAGGAGGAACACCGAUGGCGAAGGCAGUUCUCUGGGCCGUAACUGACGCUGAGGAGCGAAAGCGUGGGGAGCGAACAGGAUUAGAUACCCUGGUAGUCCACGCCGUAAACGUUGGGCGCUAGAUGUGGGGACCAUUCCACGGUUUCCGUGUCGCAGCUAACGCAUUAAGCGCCCCGCCUGGGGAGUACGGCCGCAAGGCUAAAACUUGAAAUGAAUUGACGGGGUCAUAGCUG